GCAAUCAGAUAGCUCAGUCAAUAGAGCAUGAGACUCUUAAUAUGAGGGUCAUGGGUUUGAGCCCCACGUUGAGCA